ensembl:lncRNA
CUCAGUUGCUGCGGCUCCUGGCCGUCGCCCGCUUGCUCCGACCCUGACACUCACUGUCAUCUCCACCUUAGAAGCAAGCGGGGCCACAGCCCUCGCUCUGUGCUCCCUCGCUCCCUCCUCUCUCCCUCGCUCUGUGCUCCGUCGCUCCCUCCUCUCUCCCUUGCUCUGUGCUCCCUCGCUCCCUCCUCUCUCCUCUUCCUCUUUCUCUAAUGGCCCUCCUUCCUCCCUGGUCCCCGGGACCAGCCCUGCCGCCCUGAGACGUGGUUUGCGGUCUCCCUCUGCCCCGAGAGGCGGCCUCGUGGGCUGGCUAAAGUGGGACCCUGGAGCCAGCCUCUCGGGGCUUUCUGUCCGGCUUUGCCCCGUGUGCGUUAUGUCAUCUUGACCCUCACUCGACUCGUUAUUAAUCUUUACAAGGUUCCGCUUCCAUCUCUGGAAAAUGGAGGCGCCUGAUUCACUGGGCACUGUGAGUCUUGAAUGAUUCUAUUUUUCAAAAGUGCCUGACACACCGUUGGUACAAAAUAAAAACUAUUCCCGUGCAUCCCUGGUGUAGCCCACGCCGAGUCCUUCCUGUGGCCGGUGCUUGCUCUGUCCGUCUGCCUGGAGCCCCUCCGUCCCCCUUCAUGGCCUGGUCACGUCCUUCCUGUCCGUCUGCUGGGCCCAAGGCCUCCAGGCUGCUUUCUCUCUGAACCUCCUUUCCCUGCUGGAGUGGGCGCUUCAGCCUCCCCGGCAUCCGGCUUUGUUGGGACCAUUUGUACGUGUUUGUCAGGUCUCACAAAAUCAGGAGCCUCUGCGGGCAGGGAUACUGAAUUUACCUUUGGCUCCUGCUAGGGGCUUCCCAGGUGGCGCUAGUUGGCGCCUGCCAACACAGGAGAUGUAAGAGAGGUGGGUUCGAUGCCAGGGAGCAUAUCUCCUGAACCUGCUCCAGCGUCCUUGCCUGGAGAAUCCCAUGGACGGAGGAGCCUGGCGGGCUGCACGAUCACGGGUCGUGAAGAGUCGGACACGACUGGAGCGAUGUUGCACACACACAGGGUACAUAUUGGAGCACCUUACAGGUAAUGGUUAUUCAGUAAAUGUUAAAUUUAGAAGAAUUUUUAAAAAUUUUCCUUUUGGCUGUGCCGUGGGGGCAUGUGGGAUCUUAGUUCCUCUACCAGGGAUUAAGCCCUCGCCCUCUGUGUUGGAAGUGUGGAGUCUCAACCACUGGACCAUCAAGGAAAGCCCUAGAAGAAUUUUUAAAGAUGUGCUCGCUGGUAGGUGUAUCCUUGGGCGUCCCUGGUGGCUCAGCUGGUGGGUUCAAUCCCUGAGCUGGGUAGAUCCCCUGGAGAAGGGAAAGGCUACCCACUCCAGUAUUCUGGCCUAGAGAGGUCCCUGGACUGUAUAGUCCAUGGGGUUGCAAAGAGCCAGACACAACUGAGUGACCUUCACUACUACUGCUAGGUAUAUCCUUAUAACCUUAAAAAAAAAAAAAAAAGCUGAUUUCUUUCUCACCCAGAAUAUACUCCCUGACCUUGUAGAAUUUCCAGUGUAAACACCCAGAGAAACCCUCCUAAUGAAAACCAUCAGCAGGUCUGGCCAGAUGUUUGUGGUCCUUACGCUAGCCCCGGGGGAAAUGAUCUGCCUUCAGGUUACUAAGGUUUUGUUUUCCCAAGUAAUUAGGAUAUUCCCCCACUUGAUAGAAUCAAUCAGAUGUCUCAUGUGGAAGAGGAAAUGGUCAGACUAGCUGAUAUCUAAGAUUCCUUUCAGCUUGAAUGGAACCAUAACUCUGUGAUCACAUGCUGGGCAUGUGACAUAGUUAAGACUCUCACAUCUAGAAGUGAUCAAGGGAUGCAUCUCAUGUCUGUCCUGGAAUGAAAGUUCCUUGGGGAGGGCUGUAUGCUGCAGGUGUGUUAAUGAAUUGAUCUGUUCUCGCAAUCCAUAUUUAUCGUGCACGGAUUCUGUGUGCCUGGUUUGGGGUUAGGUGCCAGGAAGAGUGCUGACCCAAGCCCCCGGCUCAUCAGAGGGCUGGCAGCUCUUCUUGAGAAAGGGAGGUGCCCGGAGGUGGGCCAGGCCAGGCUGGACAGCCUGGUGGCUCUCAGAGGGGCUGGCAGAAGCGGGGGUUCUGCAGCAGCACCAGCAGCAGCUGCCCCUCGUGGGCCCUCCUCCAUGGUCCCUCCCGCCCUGAGGCUUGUCGCGUUACCCACAGGCAGCCUGAAAUGCCUCCUGCCUCACCCGCUCGCUUCCCUUGCUUCAUCUUUCAAUCUGGAGGAUUUACAAAGAUUUAUGCCAUUAAGAGCAAGAUCUCAGCAACAUGCCGCAUGGGGAAAACAUGUUUUUCUCCUGCCCGUGGACGUGUUACCGUGUAAGCUCUUCUGGGCAGGGACCCAUUUUAUGUGUCAUCUUCUCCGGGUGAAGCUUCCUUCCCUCUGAGGGCCGAGGUUUCAGAGAUUUGGGUCCCUCGUUUCACCCGGGGUCAGCGUUAAUUCACACCAGCUCUUGGCUGGUGGUGAGCUGCCUGCAUUUUACAGUGGGGCACAGGGACCUGAGUCCUAUCUCAUUAGUCAUUCAGUCGUGUCCGACUCUGUACGACCCCAUGGGCUGCAGCCCUCCAGGCAAGAAUAGCAGAGUGGGUAGCCGUUCCCUUCCCCAGGGGAUCUUCCUGACGCAGAGAUCGAAUCUGGGUCUCCUGCAUUGCAGGCAGAUUCUUUACCAUCUGAGCCACCAGGGAAGCCUGGUGGUGGUUUAGUCGCUAAGUCGUGUCCAACUCUUGGACUCUUGCGAUGCCACUGACCGACCCUCAAGGAGACAAAAGGUCGCCUAUUACCGAGGGCCAAGCACUCUUGGCCAAGGAAUGGCAGGGUUGAAAUGAGCUUAUUGUCCUCACAGCCCAGAGGCCGAGACUUCAGAUUCUUCUGGGUGCUGGAGAUUUAGCAAGGGACAGGUGGGCGAGGAGGCUGUCCAGGCUAUGUGCCCCCCGCUCAUGAGGAAUCCAGACUGCCCUGUGGGCAGGGACGUGCCCAUAAGGCCAUCUGGGACAUGUGGCUGGAAGGAUACCCGGGGAGUCUUACCCAGCUCGGCUUUGGCAACUUGGGGGAGCUUCUGAGCCCUUUCCUCUCUCCUGCUGGCCAUCCCCCUCAGCUGUGGGCCCCUUGUCAGAGUCUGUUGAGGAGAUCAGGUUCCCCGCUUAGCUCUAAGCAGAGGGUGGGGAGGGGCUGUGGUCCUG